GUUGCUAAAAACUAGACUAGUCCUGAUUUCUACUUUCCCUUUGCCUGGAGGCUAAGCAAACAGUCAUCUAUCCAAACUGUCAACUUAAACACCACUUUCUUGGCAAUCAGCCUCUCCUUGCCCUUCCUAGUAUCUUAAAAUAAAUAAAUAAGUACACAACGGAGGUGGAAAGCCAAGCCAAGAGCACCAAUUUGUGUCCUCGGUUUUUCAGACCUUGGGUUCGUGGCAGAGCAGAGACGCAGAAGCACUAGCCUGCAGUAUUCCAUAAAACUAACAGCUGGAUCAAGCCAUACAGUGUCACUGAAUGGCUAUCACUCUGUGAAAAGGAUCCAGUGGAGAUUCUCCUUGAUUUGGGGUUUGGUACAGAAGAACCCGAUGUCUGCACUAAAAUCCCUCCUAGGUUCCUCAGCAGUUCUUCUGUGGCAAAAGGUAUCGACAU
rnacentral:lncRNA from 1 species